GGGAAAAAGGGGGGGGGACUACACAUGCAAGUCGAACGGUAGCACAGAGAGCUUGCUCUCGGGUGACGAGUGGCGGACGGGUGAGUAAUGUCUGGGAAACUGCCUGAUGGAGGGGGAUAACUACUGGAAACGGUAGCUAAUACCGCAUAACGUCGCAAGACCAAAGAGGGGGACCUUCGGGCCUCUUGCCAUCAGAUGUGCCCAGAUGGGAUUAGCUAGUAGGUGGGGUAACGGCUCACCUAGGCGACGAUCCCUAGCUGGUCUGAGAGGAUGACCAGCCACACUGGAACUGAGACACGGUCCAGACUCCUACGGGAGGCAGCAGUGGGGAAUAUUGCACAAUGGGCGCAAGCCUGAUGCAGCCAUGCCGCGUGUAUGAAGAAGGCCUUCGGGUUGUAAAGUACUUUCAGCGGGGAGGAAGGCGAUGAGGUUAAUAACCUCGUCGAUUGACGUUACCCGCAGAAGAAGCACCGGCUAACUCCGUGCCAGCAGCCGCGGUAAUACGGAGGGUGCAAGCGUUAAUCGGAAUUACUGGGCGUAAAGCGCACGCAGGCGGUCUGUCAAGUCGGAUGUGAAAUCCCCGGGCUCAACCUGGGAACUGCAUUCGAAACUGGCAGGCUAGAGUCUUGUAGAGGGGGGUAGAAUUCCAGGUGUAGCGGUGAAAUGCGUAGAGAUCUGGAGGAAUACCGGUGGCGAAGGCGGCCCCCUGGACAAAGACUGACGCUCAGGUGCGAAAGCGUGGGGAGCAAACAGGAUUAGAUACCCUUGGUAGUCCAGAA
rnacentral:rRNA from 1 species